UUUUCUUUUCGGUCUUUGUACUUUUUAAUGGAUGUUUAUUUUAGAUAGCUAGAAUUUUUGUAUGUACUUUGUUUGCUAAGCUUGUUGCUCUAAGGCUGUUAUGUUGCAGGCUUUUUCAAACACUGCUUUCUAGGUGCUUUUUCUGAAAAGGAAAUGAUCAAGUAGGAAAAAGGCUCUGAAAAAAUGUUCAAGCACCUGCAGUG